UAUUGGAGUAAUGGGUUGUAUGGAUUGCUGUUUAUUAUGUUCUUCGUAACCGUUUUCACCAUGAUCAUAUUCAAUGAUUUUUUCUUCUUUUUUUUCUUUUUCUUCUUUAAUAUCGACAGGAGCGCUGAAUAGCCUAACAAAAACGGCACGAGUUUUCAUCUGCCCGGGAGCCAUUUGUGCCAUACGACCCAAGAAGGGAAGAGAGCGCGAAAAUGAGUGUAAAGCCAUGGAUAUAUUAUUUCAAAUGCAUAAGAUAAACUAAGAAUGUACUUAAAAAAAAA
rnacentral:ribozyme from 12 species